rnacentral:rRNA from 1 species
GAUGAACGCUGGCGGCGUGCCUAAUACAUGCAAGUCGAGCGAACGGGCGAGAAGCUUGCUUUUCUGAUGUUAGCGGCGGACGGGUGAGUAACACGUGGAUAACCUACCUAUAAGACUGGGAUAACUUCGGGAAACCGGAGCUAAUACCGGAUAAUAUUUUGAACCGCAUGGUUCAAAAGUGAAAGACGGUCUUGCUGUCGCUUAUAGAUGGAUCCGCGCUGCAUUAGCUAGUUGGUAAGGUAACGGCUUACCAAGGCAACGAUGCAUAACCGACCUGAGAGGGUGAUCGGCCACACUGGAACUGAGACACGGUCCAGACUCCUACGGGAGGCAGCAGUAGGGAAUCUUCCGCAAUGGGCGAAAGCCUGACGGAGCAACGCCGCGUGAGUGAUGAAGGUCUUCGGAUCGUAAAACUCUGUUAUUAGGGAAGAACAUAUGUGUAAGUAACUGUGCACAUCUUGACGGUACCUAAUCAGAAAGCCACGGCUAACUACGUG